rnacentral:rRNA from 1 species
UACGUAGGGUGCAAGCGUUGUCCGGAAUUUAUUUGGGCGUAAAGGAGCUCGUAGGCGGUUUUGUCGGCGUCUGCUAGUGAAAACUCAGGGCUUAACCCUGAGCUUGCAGUGGGUACGGGCAGACUAGAGUGGCGGUAGGGGAGACUGGAAUUCCUGGUGUAGCGGUGAAAUGCGCAGAUAUCAGGAGGAACACCGGGUGGCGAAGGCGGGUCUCU